rnacentral:rRNA from 1 species
CGGCGUGGAUGAGGCAUGCAAGUCGGACGAAGUAUUUUAGCAAUAAGAUACUUAGUGGCGAAAGGGUUAGGAAUACAUGAAUAAGCUACCAUUAACUCGGGAAUAACGGUUGGAAACGACCGCUAAUACCGGAUGUGGGGCUCAGAGGCAUCUUUCUUUCAUUAAAGCGGGGGACCUUCGGACCUCGCGGUAAAGGAAGGGUCCAUGGGAUAUCAGCUUGUUGGUGAGGUAAAAGCUCACCAAGGCUAAGACGUCUAGGCGGGUUGAGAGAUCGACCGCCAACACUGGGACUGAGACACUGCCCAGACUCCUACGGGAGGCUGCAGUCGAGAAUCAUUCGCAAUGGGCGAAAGCCUGACGAUGCGACGCCGUGUGAGCGAUGAAGGCCUUAGGGUUGUAAAGCUCUUUCGCUUGGGAACAAGAGAUCCCGGUUAAUACCCGGGAAAUUUGAGGGUACCAAGUAAAGAAGCACCGGCUAACUCCGUGCCAGCAGCUGCGGUAAUACGGAGGGUGCGAGCAUUAAUCGGAUUUAUUGGGCGUAAAGAGCGCGUAGGUGGGCUAGUAAGUCAGACGUGAAAGCCCGGAGCUCAACUCCGGAAUUGCAUUUGAAACUGCUAGCCUUGAGGAUAGGCGGAGAAGACGGAAUUCCACGUGUAGCGGUGAAAUGCGUAGAUAUGUGGAAGAACACCGGUGGCGAAGGCGGUCUUCUAGCUUAUUCCUGACACUGAGGCGCGAAAGCAAGGGGAGCAAACAGGAUUAGAUACCCUGGUAGUCCUUGCCGUAAACGAUGUAUACUUGGUGUAGUUGGAAUCAACCCCGGCUUUGCCGUAGCUAACGUGUUAAGUAUGCCGCCUGGGGAGUACGCUCGCAAGGGUGAAACUCAAAAGAAUUGACGGGGACCCGCACAAGCAGUGGAGCAUGUGGUUUAAUUCGAUGCAACGCGAAGAACCUUACCUAGACUUGACAUGUAGUGGACGGCUUCAGAAAUGGAGUUUUCCUUCGGGACCGCUACACAGGUGCUGCAUGGCUGUCGUCAGCUCGUGCCGUGAGGUGUUGGGUUAAGUCCCGCAACGAGCGCAACCCUUAUCGUUAGUUGCCAACAGGUAAUGCUGGGAACUCUAACGAGACUGCCUGGGUUAACCAGGAGGAAGGUGAGGAUGACGUCAAGUCAGCAUGGCCCUUAUGUCUGGGGCGACACACGUGCUACAAUGGUCGGUACAGAGGGCAGCGAAACCGCGAGGUGAAGCAAAUCUCAAAAAACCGAUCUCAGUUCGGAUUGGAGUCUGCAACUCGACUCCAUGAAGUCGGAAUUGCUAGUAAUGGCGUGUCAGCCACAACGCCGUGAAUACGUUCCCGGGUCUUGUACACACCGCCCGUCACAUCAUGGAAGUUGGUCCCACCCGAAGCCGCUGACUCAACCGCAAGGAGAGAGGCGUCGAAGGUGGGGCUGAUAACUAGGAUGAAGUCG